rnacentral:rRNA from 1 species
UACGUAGGGGGCUAGCGUUGUCCGGAUUUAUUGGGCGUAAAGAGCGUGUAGGCGGCCAUGUAGGUCCGGUGUGAAAACUCGAGGCUUAACCUCGAGAUGUCAUCGGAAACCAUUUGGCUAGAGUCCGGAAGAGGAGAGUGGAAUUCCUGGUGUAGCGGUGAAAUGCGCAGAUAUCAGGAAGAACACCAAUGGCGAAAGCAGCUCUCUGGGACGGUACUGACGCUGAGGCGCGAAAGCGUGGGGAGCAAACAGG